GGGGGCGACCGGUUUCGACGGGGAUAUUGACGCCAUCGUCGCAUGUCGAGAUCUCGGGAACUCGUAAAAUUCCGGGAAAAACGCAACUGCCAACCAAGAACUGGCACUCGCAGCCUAAUUUAGGCUGAGACGUCGUUCCAUCUGAGGCCCGCGGGGGUGGAAUGGCGCGAUGCAGCGGGCUGGUCCCACGCCGGUGCUCAGCGGCGGGGGGCGAGACAAUACUGGGCUAGCGGCGAUUCUAAGCCGGCCGAUAGGCGUGGGUCGCUGCGAAGCUUAAAGAAUCGGCUACACAUGUAGACGCGAUGUGCCGACGAUCUUCGGACAGGGGUUCAACUCCCCUCGCCUCCACCA
rnacentral:tmRNA from 2 species